UGAACUCGGGUAGAUUUUCUGGGGUGUAAAGAAGGUGCAAGAUCAAGAGCCACCUCGGUUCAGUGUGCCUGCGCACCCGAGUGCACUAGAACAAUAAUUUAAGUUGUAGUUGUAGCCGCCUCCCCCGGGCAGCUUUCGAAAGGCUUGAAUUACAACUCUCAGUAUUCCUGGAAGUUGUCACCCGAUACAGCUAGAGGAAAAUAGUCUUGAAAAAGGCAAAACUCAGGAAAGGGCAAACAAAAAACAAAUAAAACACCGUUGCUGUGAUUUUCCCUGCCUUUUGCCUCCCUCCCACCUGCUCUGUUCUUGAACUGGUGCAGGAGCACCGGGAAUUGAGCCAUGGACAUAUUAGCACACACUGGAAAGGAUAUCAUAUAGGAAAAUGAGAAAGUACAGCAAGCAUCAAAAACCUCUUUAGCUUGUUUUGCAUCUGCAUAUCAUAAUCAAUUAUGGAAAAAGAAUAAUCCAACUGUUAAAAACCGUGGUUUUCUGAUUUAUAAAGUAAGCCACAUUCAAUUUUGGAAUCUGAGCUUCAAGUACGGUAUUUCCUAUCCACCUGCCUGGCACUUGCUAUCAGCUCAGUGACAGAUGGAAAGUUAAGCUUUUGGAGUAAAAAAAUUCUCUCCAGAAAGCAUUUGUUUGGCAUCAAGAGGAAUACUCAAAAUCAUGUGCAGAAAAACCAGUGGUUUUAUCUUCUAAGAUAAGUACUUGCAAGAACACUGCCAGAUACAGCAGUUGAAGAACCUGUUUCUGGACAGUAGCAUUAGCAAUGAUUUAUGGGUUUAUGUUAUACCUAUGGCACUUAAAAAUUCUGCGAUAAAUAGGCAGUGGCUUCACAUAUGUCCCUGAUGUGUUAUGUAAUUUAAUAAAUUAUUGCACAUUGUGA